rnacentral:rRNA from 1 species
CAGUCGCCACGGGAAUACGAGGGGGGCAAGCGUUGUUUGGAAUUAUUGGGCGUAAAGGGUGCGUAGGCGGCCCCGCAAGUCUCAUGUGAAAUCUUCAGGCUCAACUUGAAGUCUGCAUGGGAAACUGCGGGGCUGGAGUAUGGGAGAGGUGAGUGGAAUUCCGAGUGUAGAGGUGAAAUUCGUAGAUAUUCGGAAGAACACCAGUGGCGAAGGCGGCUCACUGGACGCGUAUUGACGCUGAGGUGCGAAAGCGUGGGGAGCAAACAGGAUUAGAUACCCCCGUAGUCCCUGUCUCUUAUAC